rnacentral:rRNA from 1 species
GUACACGCUGUGACUAGCAUAUCAAUAAGCGGAGGAAAAGAAACUAACAAGGAUUCCCCUAGUAACGGCGAGUGAAGCGGGAAGAGCUCAAAUUUGAAAUCUUAAAGGGUUUCCCUUUACGAAUUGUAGUUUAAAGAAGUGUUUUCUGUUGAGGUUUUGGUAAAAGUUCUUUGGAAUAGGACAUCAUAGAGGGUGAGAAUCCCGUAUUUGACCUUUACUUUCAACUUUGUGAUACACUUUCAAAGAGUCGGAUUGUUUGGGAUGCAGUCCAAAAUGGGUGGUAAAUCUUCAUCUAAAGCUAGAUAUUGGCGAGAGGACCGAUAGCGAACAAGUACCGUGAGGGAAAGGUGAAAAGAACUUUGAAAAGAGAGUUAAACAGUACGUGAAAUUGUCAAAAGGGAAGCGUUUGACACCAGUGUUGUUUUUCUGAAAAUCAAUUAAAGAACUGUUUAUGCUAAGUUGUUUAGACUUUAUCAGCUAAUCUGUUUAGUUUUGAGCUUUUCUUUAAUGCACUUUUCAGUUAACAAGUCAACAUCAAUUUCUUUUGCUGUAAAAAAGCUUGAGGAAGGUGGCUUGAGAUUCGUCUUAAGUGUUUAUAGCCUCUUGCCUAUGCAGUCGGAGAGAUUGAGGUCUGCAGCGUAGAUCCUUCGGGGCUAAAUGCAUUUGUGCUAAGUUAUAGCAUUUUAUAGACAACUUGUUGACUAUGAUUUGUCUUGUAGCUUACUCGCUUAUGUUAUUUUACCUACGCUUAGGAUGUUGACGCGCGUGUGUGCGUG